rnacentral:rRNA from 1 species
UGGGGAAUUUUGGACAAUGGGCGAAAGCCUGAUCCAGCAAUGCCGCGUGUGUGAGGAAGGCCUUCGGGUUGUAAAGCACUUUUGUCCGGAAAGAAAUCCUUGGCUCUAAUACAGUCGGGGGAUGACGGUACCGGAAGAAUAAGCACCGGCUAACUACGUGCCAGCAGCCGCGGUAAUACGUAGGGUGCAAGCGUUAAUCGGAAUUACUGGGCGUAAAGCGUGCGCAGGCGGUUUGCUAAGACCGAUGUGAAAUCCCCGGGCUCAACCUGGGAACUGCAUUGGUGACUGGCAGGCUAGAGUAUGGCAGAGGGGGGUAGAAUUCCACGUGUAGCAGUGAAAUGCGUAGAGAUGUGGAGGAAUACCGAUGGCGAAGGCAGCCCCCUGGGCCAAUACUGACGCUCAUGCACGAAAGCGUGGGGAGCAAACAGGAUUAGAUACCCUGGUAGUCCACGCCCUAAACGAUGUCAACUAGUUGUUGGGGAUUCAUUUCCUUAGUAACGUAGCUAACGCGUGAAGUUGACCGCCCGGGGAGUACGGUCGCAAGAUUAAAACUCAAAUGAAUUGAC